GCCGCCGCCGCCUCCUCCUCUCUCUCGCCGGUGCCGCCGAAGGAGGAGAAGAGGAAGAAGACGGGAGCACUUAGAGGAAGGAGAGGCCCUUAUUUUCCUUCUUCCCGCCGCUUCCUCCUCUGUUUCUCAUGUGCCGCCGUCAUCAACCCCCACCGCUGCUCCUUCCCCACCCCACGCUAGCCCUCCACCUCGCCUUCCUCCUCUUCGUUGUCCAUGCCGCUCUCGGAGUCCUUCCACUCCAUCCAAGGAGCUCCCAUCCCAUCCCGUGCAAGAUUUCAGCAGCAGGGGAGGAAGGAAUCGACGAUGGCGCAAGGGCCCCUGCCUCCUCGGUGCUGCACAACGGCAUGCCCGGAUGCUGGAGAGGGGCGUCUGGACCAUUGUCGGCAGCGACUUCAGAGCAGAGCUCUCGGUUGUUAGGGAAGUCAGCCAUCGGCGGUGACCGACGUUGCCUCCUCGUCGAGUGUGCUGGUGCUCAUCGUGGUUUUCCACAUCCCAGCAGCAGACCAUAAACGGAAUUCAACCCAGUCUCCAUCAGAAUGGUGUUGAGCAGUCCAGAAACAUCAGCAAUAGCACACUGGAAGGCCUUGAUAGCUAAAUAUCAUAUCUUAAAGCAGAGGCAAAAUCUAUAAUUGAUAAGGAAACAAUUGAGAAGAUUUUACCAGCUCGCCACCAUGUUCGAUUCUGUUUGGUAAACUGGUCUUGGUCAUCAUUAAAGUCUGUGGGGACCAUGGGAUGCUAAUGGCUGGAGGAGGGUCAAUGAGGGUUCCAUGCAUGCUGGGAGGAACAAUGUGCAAGGCUAAGGCUUGUUGCCGAUGGCGGAACAUCCUCUUUUCAGCGAAGGAUGACCCAACAUGUGCAGUAGCAGGAGCAACAUCACCAAAAAAGGCCUCAAGCAGGACACGCCUUUGUUUCAGCUCGUUAUUGUAAGGUGUUCUAUGUUUCAACGCGCCGCAGCUACCACUUCGCCACUGCCCUGACUCCUUACUCCAGACCAUGGAUCCGCCGUCGAUGGAGAGCGCCAACAGGAUGAAGCUUUGCCGACCUAGCCGACUCGUGUGUUGUUGCCACCGCAAUCCUUUUCUUUGUUGGAGUCUUCCUCCUCUGGAGAGAAAAAAAUUGGUGUCUUUGACACGCUUGGGAUCGACGGAUUAUUCAUGCCAUGGUUGGAUUUGAAUGGGGUAGUGUCUAUCCAAAAUUUGUUUGGUUGACUGGACUAUUUGUUCGUUUGGCUGUCUUAAUGCAACCCAAUUCGCAUAAUUUUGCAAACAUCAGCAAAGAUUUCAGUGGUUGGGAGUUUUUGCAAGAGUGGAAACAAAGCAUUUGCUCGAAGGAGCUCAAGAUUUCGCUAUUACCUUGCUGAUAGUUUUGUGAGUCUAAUUCCUCCCAAGCAGCGGCUUUCAAUGGAGACUUGACAGGCAUGGUUUUACUUCAUGAAGCCAUUUUCUGAAUUUUUUGAAGUUGGUUGCACACCAUGGUGUCAUGAGAGAGAGAGGGAUGGAGAGAGGGAGGGAGAGAGGUUUAUUCACACACUGCCAAUCCUGUUUUCCUGUAAUUAUUUUUAUGUGCAUCUAUUUUAUUUCUUCUUUGGUUUAGGGAACAUAGAAAUGCAGGAGGUAUUAGCCAUGCUGAUGUUAAUUUCUGUUAUUAACAUGACAAUGGAAUUCGAUAGGGUUAAAUUUGUCCCCCAUGGUGGUGCGGGUUUCGGGGUUUCAAGGGUGUGAAAUGGCAUGGAAGACAGAGAUGGCAGCAGCCUGCAUUCUCGAAUUGGAGUUGCCCCUUGGAGAGUAGCAGGUUGCUGAAAUGACGACCAGGGUGGAUGCCCAAAGUUACAGAAAUAUCUACCUGGGAGGAGGCGCCAAAAUUUAGAGGCACACGGGGGAUGCUAGAGGAUGAUCAGAAAGAUGAGGAGAAAGCUCAGGCCUGAUGUGGUGUGAUCUUGUUGAUUCAUAUGGCAGAUUGUUACAGGAUCAGAGGACUUAGCUGAAGGCAGGCUUGAGACUGCUGAAAAAGUGUUGAUAUGGCACUUGUGUGUACCAUGGCUUCCUUGCAUAUUGACUUUAACAAAUAUGAAAGAGAGUUGUUUCUAACCUGCUACGCAACAAGGAUUGCAAUGCAUUGCAGUUUCUUAGGCUGUUGAAGGGAAUGGAGGAAACUGAAGGCGAUAGCAAUUCCUGUUUGAAGGUCAUCACAGACUAUAUCCUGGAAACUGAAAAUUUGUUGGAGAAGAUCUAUUAUGAUGCUAUAGAAGUUGCAGAUAAGGAUCUUCUCCCCUUCUGCGUAGGGUCUGAAAGCAAGGGCAUGUACUAUAAAAUGUAUGAAAUAUAUUAUUUUCUCUUCUAUGUUUGUUGAAUGAAUUGCUACGAAGUUUAUGUUGAUAGAUUUGUUUUUUUUCCUUUUUAAGAAUCAGUUAUUUUUGUAAGCACCACUAAGCCUACCUUGCAGACCAUCUUGGUGUUUUAGCAACAACAGUGAACAUGUUUGUCCUCGUUUUCAACUUCUUUUCAA